GAUGAAGAACGCAGCGAAAUGCGAUAAGUAGUGUGAAUUGCAGAAUUCAGUGAAUCAUCGAAUCUUUGAACGCACAUUGCGCCCCUUGGUAUUCCAUGGGGCAUGCCUGUUCGAGCGUCAUUUGUACCUUCAAGCUUUGCUUGGUGUUGGGUGUUUGUCCAUUCUCUUGCAGAGGGACUCGCCUUAAAGUAAUUGGCAGCCAGUGUUUUGGUUUUGAAGCGCAGCACAAGUCGCGAUUCAACGCUAUACGCCAGCUUCCACAAGCCUUUUUCACUUUUGACCUCGGAUCAGGUAGGGAUACCCGCUGAACUUAAGCAUAUCAAUAAGCGGACGA
rnacentral:misc_RNA from 1 species